CGAGUCCUGCGUUAAAGAUACGAAAGGAGGGAACACAGAAGUCGAGGAACGGUCUUCUUCCUUCUCUUUUUCUUGGAUCCAAAAGUUUUGAAACGAGAACGCAUGGACUUCCGAAGGAGAUUCUAAUAUAUAGGCCAAGGGUUUUUGAUUAUUUAAGUGUGUUCCGACGGAACAUUGGAACGAACACCUGGGAGGAGUAAAUUCGAACCAGUAAGAAAAGUCGCUGGAAGGUCAGCUGCUCCGGCUCGGACAUCGAAUAGCCUGCCAUGCCUGUCGCCAUUGAAGUCAAGAAGGAAAUGCUCCGCUGACCAAUCAAUUUGUGUUUUUUUUAAUAUAUAUCAAAACGGUAUGUAAUUUAUUUUGUUGAAUGGACCAGAAAUUACUUACUGGGACCUACUUAUACGUUGGGACGAUAUCUGGUGCGACUUUUAUGGUGACGCAAUGUCCUCCGUUUCCUACCUCCCUUCCCCGCCCCCCGCCCCUAAAAAAUAUAUUUAUAUGUGGGAAAGAGAUAAAUCUUAUUACUUAAAGUAUAUGUAACGUUCCAGUUCAAAUUAUAUUACUUAUUAAUUAAUAUUUUA